rnacentral:rRNA from 1 species
GACGAACGCUGGCGGCGUGCCUAAUACAUGCAAGUCGAACGCUUCUUUCCUCCCGAGUGCUUGCACUCAAUUGGAAAGAGGAGUGGCGGACGGGUGAGUAACACGUGGGUAACCUACCAUCAGAGGGGGAUAACACUUGGAAAAAGGUGCUAAUACCGCAUAACCGUUUAUGCCGCAUGGCAUAAGAGUGAAAGGCGCUUUCGGGUGUCGCUGAUGGAUGGACCCGCGGUGCAUUAGCUAGUUGGGGAGGUAACGGCUCACCAAGGCCACGAUGCAUAGCCGACCUGAGAGGGUGAUCGGCCACACUGGGACGUAGACACGGCCCAGACUCCUACGGGAGGCAGCAGUAGGGAAUCUUCGGCAAUGGACGAAAGUCUGACCGAGCAACGCCGCGUGAGUGAAGAAGGUUUUCGGAUCGUAAAACUCUGUUGUUAGAGAAGAACAAGGACGUUAGUAACUGAACGUCCCCUGACGGUAUCUAACCAGAAAGCCACGGCUAACUACGUG